GAAGAAGGCUUCGGGUCGUAAAGCUCUUUGUUAGGGGAAGAGAAAGGACGGUACCGUAAGAAGAAGCUUCGGCUAACUACGUGCCAGCAGCCCCGGUAAGACGUAGGACGCGAGCGUUAUCCGGAAUUACUGGGCGUAAAGGGCCAGCAGNCGGCUUGGUAAGUCGUGCGUGAAAGCCUCGUGCUCAACGCGAGGAAGCCGGACAAUACUGUCAAGCUAGAGGGCAUCAGAGGGGAGUGGAAUUCCCGGAGUAGCGGUAAAAUGCGCAGAUAUCGGGAGGAACACCGAUGGCGAAGGCAGCUCCCUGGGAUGCACCUGACGCUAAGAGGCGAAAGCUAGGGGAGCGAACAGGAUUAGAGACCCUGGUAGUCCUAGCUGUAAACGCUGGGUGCUAGGUGUGGGACGUAGAAGUUCCGUGCCGGAGCAAACGCGAUAAGCACCCCGCCUGGGAAUUACGGUCGCAAGGCUAAAACUCAAACGAAUUGACGGGGCCCCGCACAAGCAGCGGAGCGUGUGGUUCAAUUCGAUGCUACACGAAGAACCUUACCUGGGUUUGACAUGUACGUGGUACGAGGGCGAAAGCCCAAGGACCCUUCGGGGAGCGUACACAGGUGCUGCAUGGCUGUCGUCAGCUCGUGCCGUGAGGUGUCGGGUUAAGUCCCGUAACGAGCGCAACCCUUGCCCUUAGUUACAAGUGUCUAAGGGGACUGCCGGCGGGAAGCCGGAGGAAGGUGGGGAUGACGUCAAGUCAGCAUGGCCCUUAUGUCCAGGGCUACACACACGCUACAAUGGUCAGUACAAAGGGUAGCGAAGUCGCGAGGCGGAGCGAAUCUCAACAAAGCUGAUCGUAGUUCGGAUUGCAGGCUGCAACCCGCCUGCAUGAAGCUGGAGUUGCUAGUAACCGCGCGUCAGCCAUAGUGCGGUGAAUACGUACCCGGGGCUUGUACACACCGCCCGUCACGUCAUGGGAGUCGGUAACGCCUGAAGCCGGUAGUCUGGCCCGCGAGGGGGACGCUGUCGAAGGCGGGACUGGCAACUGGGACGAAGUCGU
rnacentral:rRNA from 1 species